UGUAAACCAAAUGAUAUAUCACUUUUGCAUGCUGUAGUACAUCAAACACAAAAGAACCGGGUUUAACCAUAGAGGGUUCAGACCACCUGAUAAAGGAGAUUGACAGUAGCACAGCUAUACAAGAAGGUAUAUAAUCAGUACCAUGUAAUGUUUUAUGAAGAUAAACUCUUUUGAUGUAUUACAUCGCUGCUGUGGGAUUGGUUUAUCUGCAGUGGUCUGCAUGUUACUGGGUCCAAAUGCAUUGUUGUGGGAAAAUUGCCUAAAGCAAUAUAGUUAUAGGGCAGAAGAAACUCUUAAAACUGAAUUUAGUUGUUACUACUGUAUACCGUACUGCCUAAUGAAGUGAUUUUAGUCAAUAUAGAUAUAUACAUAUGGUGUUGUAUAUGCAUAAUUGAUAUAGUUAGCUAUACUGUACACAGGGCCGCCUAGAGAAUUUGCGGGGCCCGAGGCAAACCUUCCCUGGGGGCCCCAUGACAUUAUUUUUAAGCCUUAAACUAAAGCUAGACUGCAUGUGGAGGUGCUGUAAGUGGCCCUCAAUUUCAAAAAUGCUCUUUAUAGAACCUACUCAAUUUUAGGCUCUUGCUCCAAGUUGCGGCCCUAUAUUUAAGGUGGGGGCCCAGGGCAAUUUGCCCCCCCCCCUCUUAGCGGCCCUGACUGUACAUGUGAUUAUUUUGAUUAUAGCUAAAUAGAAUAUGCAACCCUAACGUAGAAUGUGUUAUAUUUUGUGUGUAUACCAUAUUGCUAAGCCAUUGAGCUGAAUUGUGCCCUACUUUGUUGUUUUACUAUCAAUAUUUCAAACAUGGCUUGUUUUGGCAAGACAUGACAUCCUUUUGGUUUUUCACAUAUUGAAUUUGACAGAAUGUCAUCUCUGCGAUAUAUCGAAACAAUGCCAUUUCUUUGAUGUAUCAAAACCAUGGAUAGUUUAGAGUAUUCGACAUAUUGAAAAAAUGGCAAUCUUUUGAUAUAUCGAAGAAAUGGCAUUCUUUCAAUAUAUAGAAGCCAUGGAUAGUUUAGUUUUCGAUAUAUCGAGGAAAU